rnacentral:sRNA from 2 species
CUGCGAUGAAAACGGGCCUUUCAUGCAAAGGAAGCCGGUGAAAAUCCGGUGCGGUCGCGCCACUGUAAUGCGGGCAUGCAUGGCAUCAUGUCGAUGCGCGCACCCUGCCAAGCCAGAUACUUUGCAUGAUAUCCUUUCUUCCAUCCAUCGGGGACGCGAUUUCCCCGCAGGAGUCAU